rnacentral:rRNA from 1 species
AGGGUGACAGGUGGUGCAUGGUUGUCGUCAGCUCGUGUCGUGAGAUGUUGGGGUUAAGUCCCGCAACGAGCGCAAACCCUCGACCUUAGUUGCCAGCAUUCAGUUGGGCACUCUAAGGUGACUGCCGGCUAAAAGUCGGAGGAAGUGGGGAUGACGUCAAAUCAUCAUGCCCCUUAUGACCUGGGCUACACACGUGCUACAAUGGGCGGUACAAAGGGUCGCGAACCCGCGAGGGGGAGCCAAUCCCAAAAAGCCGCUCUCAGUUCGGAUUGCAGGCUGCAACUCGCCUGCAUGAAGCCGGAAUCGCUAGUAAUCGCGGAUCAGCAUGCCGCGGUGAAUACGUUCCCGGGCCUU